rnacentral:rRNA from 1 species
GACGAACGCUGGCGGCGUGCUUAACACAUGCAAGUCGAACGGAAAGGCCCUGCUUUUGUGGGGUGCCCGAGUGGCGAACGGGUGAGUAACACGUGAGUAACCUGCCCUUGACUUUGGGAUAACUUCAGGAAACUGGGGCUAAUACCGGAUAGGAGCUCCUGCUGCAUGGUGGGGGUUGGAAAGUUUCGGCGGUUGGGGAUGGACUCGCGGCUUAUCAGCUUGUUGGUGGGGUAGUGGCUUACCAAGGCUUUGACGGGUAGCCGGCCUGAGAGGGUGACCGGCCACAUUGGGACUGAGAUACGGCCCAGACUCCUACGGGAGGCAGCAGUGGGGAAUAUUGCACAAUGGGCGGAAGCCUGAUGCAGCAACGCCGCGUGCGGGAUGACGGCCUUCGGGUUGUAAACCGCUUUCGCCUGUGACGAAGCGUGAGUGACGGUAAUGGGUAAAGAAGCACCGGCUAACUACGUGCCAGCAGCCGCGGUGAUACGUAGGGUGCGAGCGUUGUCCGGAUUUAUUGGGCGUAAAGGGCUCGUAGGUGGUUGAUCGCGUCGGAAGUGUAAUCUUGGGGCUUAACCCUGAGCGUGCUUUCGAUACGGGUUGACUUGAGGAAGGUAGGGGAGAAUGGAAUUCCUGGUGGAGCGGUGGAAUGCGCAGAUAUCAGGAGGAACACCAGUGGCGAAGGCGGUUCUCUGGGCCUUUCCUGACGCUGAGGAGCGAAAGCGUGGGGAGCGAACAGGCUUAGAUACCCUGGUAGUCCACGCUGUAAACGGUGGGUACUAGGUGUGGGGUCCAUUCCACGGGUUCCGUGCCGUAGCUAACGCUUUAAGUACCCCGCCUGGGGAGUACGGCCGCAAGGCUAAAACUCAAAGGAAUUGACGGGGCCCCGCACAAGCGGCGGAGCAUGCGGAUUAAUUCGAUGCAACGCGUAGAACCUUACCUGGGUUUGACAUGGAUCGGGAGUGCUCAGAGAUGGGUGUGCCUCUUUUGGGGUCGGUUCACAGGUGGUGCAUGCCUGCCGUCAGCUCGUGUCGUGAGAUGUUGGGUUAAGUCCCGCAACGAGCGCAACCCUUGUUCACUGUUGCCAGCACGUUAUGGUGGGGACUCAGUGGAGACCGCCGGGGUCAACUCGGAGGAAGGUGGGGAUGACGUCAAGUCAUCAUGCCCCUUAUGUCCAGGGCUUCACGCAUGCUACAAUGGCUGGUACAGAGAGUGGCGAGCCUGUGAGGGUGAGCGAAUCUCGGAAAGCCGGUCUCAGUUCGGAUUGGGGUCUGCAACUCGACCUCAUGAAGUCGGAGUCGCUAGUAAUCGCAGAUCAGCAACGCUGCGGUGAAUACGUUCCCGGGGCU